UCGCUGAGAGGAGGUGCAUGGCCGUCGUCAGUUCGUACUGUGAAGCAUCCUGUUAAGUCAGGCAACGAGCGAGACCCGUGCCCACUGUUGCCAGCAUAUCCUUCGGGAUGAUGGGUACUCUGUGGGGACCGCCGGUGCUAAACCGGAGGAAGGUGCGGGCUACGGUAGGUCAGUAUGCCCCGAAUCUCCAGGGCUACACGCGGGCUACAAUGGUCGGGACAAUGGGUUCCUACCCCGAAAGGGGUUGGUAAUCUCAUAAACCCGCCCGUAGUUCGAAUUGAGGGCUGCAACUCGCCCUCAUGAAGCUGGAAUCCGUAGUAAUCGCGUUUCAACAGAACGCGGUGAAUACGUCCCUGCUCCUUGCACACACCGCCCGUCAAACCACCCGAGUAGGGUCUGAAUGAGAGCGCUUUCUUUGGAGGCGUUCGAAUUUGGGCUUUGCAAGGGGGGUUAAGUCGUAACAAGGUAACCUCAGUCAGUCAA
rnacentral:rRNA from 1 species